rnacentral:rRNA from 1 species
UACAGGCUUAACACAUGCAAGUCGAGGGGCAGCAUGGUCUUAGCUUGCUAAGGCCGAUGGCGACCGGCGCACGGGUGAGUAACACGUAUCCAACCUGCCGUCUACUCUUGGACAGCCUUCUGAAAGGAAGAUUAAUACAAGAUGGCAUCAUGAGUCCGCAUGUUCACAUGAUUAAAGGUAUUCCGGUAGACGAUGGGGAUGCGUUCCAUUAGAUAGUAGGCGGGGUAACGGCCCACCUAGUCUUCGAUGGAUAGGGGUUCUGAGAGGAAGGUCCCCCACAUUGGAACUGAGACACGGUCCAAACUCCUACGGGAGGCAGCAGUGAGGAAUAUUGGUCAAUGGGCGAGAGCCUGAACCAGCCAAGUAGCGUGAAGGAUGACUGCCCUAUGGGUUGUAAACUUCUUUUAUAAAGGAAUAAAGUCGGGUAUGGAUACCCGUUUGCAUGUACUUUAUGAAUAAGGAUCGGCUAACUCCGUGCCAGCAGCCGCGGUAAUACGGAGGAUCCGAGCGUUAUCCGGAUUUAUUGGGUUUAAAGGGAGCGUAGAUGGAUGUUUAAGUCAGUUGUGAAAGUUUGCGGCUCAACCGUAAAAUUGCAGUUGAUACUGGAUAUCUUGAGUGCAGUUGAGGCAGGCGGAAUUCGUGGUGUAGCGGUGAAAUGCUUAGAUAUCACGAAGAACUCCGAUUGCGAAGGCAGCCUGCUAAGCUGCAACUGACAUUGAGGCUCGAAAGUGUGGGUAUCAAACAGGAUUAGAUACCCUGGUAGUCCACACGGUAAACGAUGAAUACUCGCUGUUUGCGAUAUACUGCAAGCGGCCAAGCGAAAGCGUUAAGUAUUCCACCUGGGGAGUACGCCGGCAACGGUGAAACUCAAAGGAAUUGACGGGGGCCCGCACAAGCGGAGGAACAUGUGGUUUAAUUCGAUGAUACGCGAGGAACCUUACCCGGGCUUAAAUUGCAGAUGAAUUACGGUGAAAGCCGUAAGCCGCAAGGCAUCUGUGAAGGUGCUGCAUGGUUGUCGUCAGCUCGUGCCGUGAGGUGUCGGCUUAAGUGCCAUAACGAGCGCAACCCUUGUUGUCAGUUACUAACAGGUUCCGCUGAGGACUCUGACAAGACUGCCAUCGUAAGAUGUGAGGAAGGUGGGGAUGACGUCAAAUCAGCACGGCCCUUACGUCCGGGGCUACACACGUGUUACAAUGGGGGGUACAGAGGGUCGCUACCACGCGAGUGGAUGCCAACCCCCAAAACCUCUCUCAGUUCGGACUGGAGUCUGCAACCCGACUCCACGAAGCUGGAUUCGCUAGUAAUCGCGCAUCAGCCACGGCGCGGUGAAUACGUUCCCGGGCCUUGUACACACCGCCCGUCAAGCCAUGGGAGCCGGGGGUACCUGAAGUGCGUAACCGCGAGGAGCGCCCUAGGGUAAAACUGGUGACUGGGGCUAAGUCAUAA